rnacentral:rRNA from 1 species
GAGGGGGAAAUGGGGCUCUUACCAUGCAAGUCGACGGUAAGGCCCUUCGGGGUACACGAGUGGCGAACGGGUGAGUAACACGUGGGUGAUCUGCCCUGCACUUUGGGAUAAGCCUGGGAAACUGGGUCUAAUACCGAAUACACCCUGCUGGUCGCAUGGCCUGGUGGGGGAAAGCUUUUGCGGUGUGGGAUGGGCCCGCGGCCUAUCAGCUUGUUGGUGGGGUGAUGGCCUACCAAGGCGACGACGGGUAGCCGGCCUGAGAGGGUGUCCGGCCACACUGGGACUGAGAUACGGCCCAAACUCCUACGGGAGGCAGCAGUGGGGAAUAUUGCACAAUGGGCGCAAGCCUGAUGCAGCGACGCCCCGUGAGGGAUGACGGCCUUCGGGUUGUAAACCUCUUUCACCAGGGACGAAGCGUAAGUGACGGUACCUGGAGAAGAAGCACCGGCCAACUACGUGCCAGCAGCCGCGGUAAUACGUAGGGUGCGAGCGUUGUCCGGAAUUACUGGGCGUAAAGAGCUCGUAGGUGGUUUGUCGCGUUGUUCGUGAAAACUCACAGCUUAACUGUGGGCGUGCGGGCGAUACGGGCAGACUGGAGUACUGCAGGGGAGACUGGAAUUCCUGGUGUAGCGGUGGAAUGCGCAGAUAUCAGGAGGAACACCGGUGGCGAAGGCGGGUCUCUGGGCAGUAACUGACGCUAAGGAGCGAAAGCGUGGGGAGCGAACAGGAUUAAAUACCCUGGUAGUCCACGCCGUACACGGUGGGUACUAGGUGUGGGUUUCCUUCCAUGGGAUCCGUGCCGUACUCACGCAUUAAGUACCCCGCCUGGGAGAGUACGGCCGCAAAGGCUAAAACUCAAAGAAAUUUGACUUGGGGCCCCACACAAGCAGCCGAAGCAGGUGGAUUAAAUUCGGAGCCAACGCGAAAUAAACUUACCCAGGGUUUUGACAUGCACGUGGACCCCAGCCAGAAAUUUCCGGUUCCCAUUGUGGCCCUGCUUUGCAAGGUGUUGCAUGGCUUGUCGUCCAGCUCUUGGUCCGGGACAUCUUGGGGUUGAGGUCCCCCCAUCGAAGUGCCACCCCUUUGUGUGGAGGUUAGCC